AGCGCUCUGACUCCAUUCACUUCAGAGUCCUACACAGUCAAGGAGCUGUGCAGACUGCUGCAAGACAGGCUCUGGAUAGCACAACACGGACAACUUUCUCCCUUGUGAUUUUCUGAGAGGAUCUGUUCGUUUGGAUUAUAUUCUUUUAGGACUAUUAAAUACAAUCAAAGAAAAAUAGUCGUGCGUCUUAAGUACUGUCUAAUUCUAACAUUGUCCAAAAGAAGGGGAGCUGCUUUUUUUUUUAUUUGUUUUUUGAUAUCAAAGUGAACUGGGCUGAAGUUUGAAGCCUAUUUGUUAAAGGGUGAAGGACAAGUGCAAUGCGUGUCAGACUUGUCUCUUGGGAUUGUCACACUUGCGCCUGAGGAGCUAUGUCGAGCUGCUGCGCAGAGCUUGUUCAAGAGGACGCAGUCCAAUGUGAAUAACAAGAGUCAACUUCAAGCCUCUUCAGCUUUUCACACUUCCAAGCAAGUGCAGCACGGAGUUUCACCGAGCCCGCUGAGCAGCUCUGACACCCCGGUUUCUCUCCCCCCGGAGGGGAUGGUUGUGGAUCCUCUGGGGCCAGGAGCGACUCUGGGGCUCCUACAGAAGAGCACAUUUUUCUUGUUUGGGGUUCAUUCUAAAUUAAAGGGAGAUGAGAGCCGCUCUUUGUUACUUCCUGCUGUGGACGGCGUACCUGCUGCUGGCCACUGCUGAGGAAGUGGAGUUUCCCCAGGAGCUGAUAGACAGACUGUCCCACAGUGAAAUCCACAGCAUCAGCGACCUCCAGCGGCUACUGGAGAUUGACUCCGUAGGUACGGGAAACGAUGUUAUCGAGGAGCCCAAGCACCACAAACACCACAACCACCAUAAGAACUACUCCCGUCAUCACGGUCACUACAAUGACCUGAAGAGCUCGCAGCUCCACAGUCGACGCAAGAGGAGUAUCGUCGAGGAGGCGGUCCCGGCGGUGUGCAAGACGCGGACGGUGAUCUACGAGAUCCCCAGGAGCCAGGUGGAUCCCACGUCUGCCAACUUCCUGAUAUGGCCGCCAUGUGUGGAGGUGAAGCGCUGCACGGGCUGCUGCAACACCAGCAACAUGCGCUGUCACCCUUCCCGCAAGCACCACCGCACCGUUAAGGUGGCCAAGGUGGAGUAUGUGAGGAGGAGACCCAAGCUGAAAGAGGUCUUUGUGCGGUUAGAAGACCACCUGGAGUGUGUGUGCACGUCACAACAUCAUGUGGUGGAGCACUCAGACGCAGAAACAGGCCACCGUAGGGCUAAAGCUAAAAAAAGGAAACCUAAAAAGCUAAGGCCCAGCAAGGAUUUAUUGGCGACAUAAUAAAGUUGCACUCAUUACCCAAAGUCCACUGGAGAGCUGUGAAGGGAACAGUGGACGUGAGGUGAGACCAAUCAGAACAAGGGACUCCAGCAUGGGAGGGACCUAAGUAGAGGAUGUUACCAACAGGAGACCUGCUCUGUCCUCUUCCCCACCGCCAUGCAACCUUCGUUUGGAAAAAAACAAAACAAUUCUGUACAGACAAGAGACUGAAAAAUAGGCAACAGACAAAAAUGAAUAAGAUGCCAAAGGUGCUUUUUUUCCUAAAAAAAAAAAACCCAAAACAAAACAAAAACCAGUGAUGUUGACUUCCUCUGUGGUACGCCACCUACCCAGACAACUGAACCCUGUCGCUGAUUAAGAAGUGAAGAGAAAUAUGCUGUGGAGCUUGAGCAGGGAAGAAAGAGGCCGAAGGGGAGAUGAUGAAAAGGAUUUGUGUUGAACAUUUUGACAGACUUUGUUUGAACAUGACGCACAACAGAAACGGCUAUGAAACGGUUGGAUCAAGCUUUCGUGGGAAUCUGGUGCUCAAACUCGAAAAGCAGCGGUGGAUGACCUCCUGCUGGGCAACAUAAAAGUGCCCUGCCCUGUUUAAAUGACUCUUGCAUACACAGGAAGAAAGAAAGAGAGAUAUAGGAAAACAAUGGAAAGCGCUGGAGUUGUGGAGGUGUUUUUUUUUUUGUUUGUUUGUUUUUUUCAAAAGACUCUAUGGAGCAUCAAACAUUUUGAGUUUUUGGACGUUUGUUCUGAGGUAUUCUUCUCUGAGACCCCUAGUGGUCUGUGACUUUGCCCACCUGCUAUGUACAGUCUGAAAAGGAUGCACGGCUACUUACAAACUAUUUAUACAUGUGGACGUUUGCUUUCUGUCUUUUCCAAUACAAAAGAAAGAAAGAACAGAAAAGGUGUUUUUAUGAUUUUGGAGACAUGAAAGAGUCCUGUGUGGUCCGGUUCUGUGUAACCAUCAGUAUCACGAUCUCAAUGUCAUUUUUUUAGUCAUUGUUAUUCUUGUCAUCCAUGUUUCUUAUUAUAUUACAGUAUAUCUGAAUGAUGUCAAGUCUUGUAAAUGGUUUGAAUAUAUGUGCAAGGAGGAGAUGUGAGAGUCAGUACAGGAAGAUGCUUUAUUUUUGUUAUGAAAUAUAUUAUGCUUACUUAUAUCCAA